AACAUUUAAAACAAAGAGGAGACUUUUUAUAGCAGACGUGCCAGGCAUACCAGAGAGACACAGCAUGGACAACGAGCCUGUUUCGUGGGGCAGGGCUAAACAAGGCAAGAUAGAACCUCGGCGGGCAUUAGGAGGUUGGAGACAGGGUUGCAAGUCUCUGAGGCCCAGACGGGGUUCCUGCGCAGAGAUCCAGGCAGGUUGGUGUGUUUGUCUGACAUCAGGAAGAUGAUGACACAACUCGCAAUUGACCCUAACCUGAGUGAGGGAGGGCUGUGCAACGUCACCAGCCUCACCCUCUCCUCCAGAGCCAUCCAGGUCCAGCGGCCAGACAGUCAUCAGGACAACUGGAGAUGGCCCAGGAUGCAAUGGGAGACCCUGGCCAAGCCAAGGUCAUUCCAGGCUCCCACCCUGAGUAUGGAUGAGGAAACAGGUUAACAGAAGUUAAGUGACUUGCCCAAGACUAUGUGCUGAGUUAAUGACAAAGCUGGACUGGGGAGACUUGGAAAGUUUUUGAGACCCAGAGAUCCUCUCUCAAACAGGCACCUUGUGGUACAGUAAAUAGAGCAAUGCGCCUGGACUCAGGAAGACCUGAGUUCAAAUUU